CCUGAUACGAGGGGGGCCCCCACGCCCACCGGGGUCUGGGGUCAGCCCUCCCUGCUCUCCCCUCCCCUGCCUGCCUGCUGUGGGAGCCUGCACACCCGGGGGUCCCCUUUUGUUCCAGCCUGACCUCUACCUGGCACUGACCCCUCCUGGGGGGCAGGAGGGUCCCCCAGACACAGCCCAGGGCAGGGAGGGGCUCAAGGUGUGCGGGAUGCAAGGUCGCUUCUCUUUAACUCUGCGUCGCCCGCCACUCCUGCGCCUCUCUCCUCCCUCUCUCCUCCCUUUCUCCUCUCCCUCUCCUCUCUCUCAAGAUCUCCCUCCCCGCGAAGUCUGCGCUGGUGCAGGAGGGCUGGGGGAAGGGCAGGGGUGCGGAGAGGGGUGCCUGGUGUCUUCUUUCUCUCUGCCUCCCCCACCCCCAAGUGCAACGCGUCGGGAGCUCCGGCCUCCCCCACCCCUGCAUUCGCGAUUGGCUCCGGGAGAAGGUGGAUGGCGCUGCCGCGGCUGCAGCAUCGUACCCGGGAGCCGCGACCCUGCGCCCGCCGCCGGCGACGCCAGCCCGGCUGGGGGGCUCCCGAUUUUUUUGGGGUGAAGAUUUAAGAAAGAAGAAGAAGCUGAUCAGGUAGCUUUUCAGUUGAUUAGACACAGUUCACACCUGUCUUCAGUGGUGGCAAUGUCACAGGACUGUGUGGCCAGGACCAGGGUCGUUCUUGGCUGGGAGCCCACGCGUCUACUCAGGAGGCCUCAAAGUGGCAGCGACCUUCGGAUAUGAGCCGGUGAUUCACAUCAGGGCAGGACACUGACCGAGGACCAGGUCACCUGCCCCUCAGUCCACGCCUGUGCUUCAGAUUCUGACCAGGGUGGACACCUGCCAGUGGCCGUGGCCGGGGGCUGAAGGAGGGACCCUACCCCAGCAGGCAGGGCCUCAGGAUCCCACAAUGCUUAAGGCAGGCAGGGGGAGGGUCACCCCGGAUGCAGCCCAGCCUCUGCCCGCGGCCUGGGUACCCAAGGCCCAGGCCUUCCUGGCUCCUGGCCUCACUUCUCCCCCGUAAAUGAAAGGAUGGCCCGACCUGAGACCAUUCCCACCUCCACCCACGCUGGGGACAUCUCCUCCUGAAUGGCUGGAAAGGACCCUGCGGCCGGUUCCUGCCUCCCCCCUGGGGCCUUCGUUGGGUCCCCGUGAGGACCACUGCACAGGCCCUGGGCCACUUUGGAUUCAGUGAAUGAAAACAGGAAGCCCAGACUGUGCCUGGCAGGCAGCGGGCGGCCUGGCUGGCAGAAAGCCAGCGGGAGCCGCAGGCUGAGGGGCCCAGCAAGACUCCUAUGUGGACACGGAACUUGAAUUCCAUAAAAUGUUCACAGGUCCCAAAA